GUACUGAUGAAGAGUCCCAAACUAAAGCGAAACAGCUGUCCAGUAC
rnacentral:hammerhead_ribozyme from 1 species